AUUGAACGCUGGCGGCAGGCCUAACACAUGCAAGUCGAACGAGCGGCGGACGGGUGAGUAAUGUCUGGGAAUCUGCCCGAUGGAGGGGGAUAACUACUGGAAACGGUGGCUAAUACCGCAUACUAUCGGAUGUGCCCAUAUGGGAUUAGCUAGUAGGUGGGGUAACGGCUCACCUAGGCGACGAUCUCUAGCUGGUCUGAGAGGAUGAUCAGCCACACUGGAACUGAGACACGGCCCAGACUCCUACGGGAGGCAGCAGUGGGGAAUAUUGCACAAUGGGCGCAAGCCUGAUGCAGCCAUGCCGCGUGUAUGAAGAAGGCCUUAGGGUUGUAAAGUACUUUCAGCGGGGAGGCGUUACCCGCAGAAGAAGCACCGGCUAACUCCGUGCCAGCAGCCGCGGUAAUAC
rnacentral:rRNA from 1 species